rnacentral:lncRNA from 1 species
UGUUGAGAAGUCAAUAUUAGCCCAAAUAAGUCCACACCUAAAUUAAUUUGAUGUCAUUGCUUACAUCAAUUUAGUUAGGUGAAUAUUAGCCCAAAUAAGUCCACACCUAAAUUAAUUUGAUGUCAUUGCUUACAUCAAUUUAGUUAGGUGAAAAUUAGGUAUUUUUCCCAUGUUUAAUUUCAAUGGUUUAAAUUAGUUUGUGGUUAUUUUAAUGAGUGGUUUAGAUUGUUUCUUGUAACCUAUAAAUACCUCAUUUGUAUUUGAGUUUUAUUAUUCAACAAUAAAAAGCUUUAUUAUAAGCAUUUGAAAGCUUUCUUAAGAGUUCUUCUCUUUUUGCAAUUUUGUGAGAUUAUUCUAAAGAGAGUUUUUCUUCUUCUUGAUCAAUUAGAGUUUUUACUCUAUUUUGAUUCAACAUUUGGUAUCAGAGCAUUGGUUGUAAAGUCUCUUGAAAUUCCGAGUAUGCUCUGUGGUUGCAGUUUUGACUGAUCUUCCACAUCAGAAAAGAUUUCUUGAGAUUAUUGCUGGGGUUAUCACAAACCUUGAGAGGGAGCUUCUUUGUGUCAAGAGUAGUGUAUUAUUCUGCACGGUAGUCACUCAAGAUUGUUCGGUGUAGUCAAAGUCUUGUCGAUACGAUGGGUGAUCUUCAAGUUGUUGGAGGAAUCAAGAAGCUCAACAACCAAAACUAUAACACGUGGGCAACGUGUAUAGAAUCUUACCUUCAAGGUCAAGACUUGUGGGAGGUUGUCGGUGGUAGUGAAGUUACACAACCGGCAGCGGAAGAUGCUAACGGCGUCUUGCGGAAGUGGAAAAUUAAAGCAGGCAAAGCAAUGUUUGCUUUAAAGACCACAAUAGAAGAAGAAAUGUUGGAGCACAUUCGGGAUGCUAAAUCACCGAAGGAAGCGUGGGACACCUUCGCUACACUCUUUUCGAAGAGGAACGAUACAAAAUUGCAACUUCUCGAGAAUGAACUUCUAUCAAUGGUGCAACGCGACAUGGCGGUUGCCCAAUACUUUCACAAGGUGAAGUCGAUAUGCCGUGAAAUUUCAGAAUUAGAUCCGACAGCUGCUAUUGGGGAAGCCAGGAUAAAAAGAAUAAUUGUCCAUGGCUUGAGACCCGAAUACCGAAGCUUUGUAGCCGCUGUACAAGGAUGGCCGACACAACCAUCACUUGUUGAGUUUGAAAAUUUGCUGACAGGCCAAGAAACUAUGGCCAAGAAAAUGGGAGGAGUCUCACUAAAGGGUGAAGAGGAAGCGCUUUACACCAACCAAAGCAGAGGUGGUUCAAGACAGCACAACAAAGGCGGAUCUAGAAAGACUGGUGAACAGACAAAAAGUCAUCAGGGAGGGAAUGGCUCUCGUCCAGGGGGAGCUUCGAAGAAUCGUGACAGUAAUAGAAAGUUCGAUGGCGAAUGUUACAAUUGCGGGAAGAAGGGCCACAUGAAGAGAGAUUGUUGGUCCAAAAAGAAGUCUACCGAAAGCAAUAUUGCUACUUCUAGUUCUAAAGAAGAUAGUGAAGAUAGCUGGGAUGCCGAAGCAUUACUCGCUAUGGAGGAAGAAGAAUUAGCUCUCACGGUAACAACACCAGAAAAGAUUAACUACGAGAAUGAUUGGAUCGUAGACUCAGGCUGCUCAAAUCACAUGACGGGUGAUAGACAGAAGUUGCAAAACUGUUCUGAGUACAAGGGAAAUCGUGUGGUGGUAACAGCUGACAACUCAAGGUUACCGAUAGCUCACAUCGGUAAAGCGAUCGUUACACCUCGAUAUAGUCCCAACCAAGUGCCACUUCAAGAUGUCUACCAUGUUCCAGGAAUGAAGAAAAAUUUGCUAUCCGUAGCUCAAUUGACAUCAUCAGGCCACUAUGUCUUGUUUGGUCCACAAAAUGUGAAGGUAUUUCGAGACCUGAAGAUCUCAGAAAACCCUACGAUGGAGGGACGACGAUUGGAGUCAGUUUAUGUGAUGUCAGCUGAGUCUGCAUACGUAGACAAGACAAGAAGGAAUGAGACGGCAGAUCUGUGGCACAUGCGGCUAGGUCAUGUUAGUUAUUCCAAGCUAAGUGUGAUGGUGAAGAAGUCGAUGCUUAAGGGACUUCCACAACUUGACGUGAGAACAAAUACUGUUUGCGCGGGAUGUCAAUAUGGUAAAGCACAUCAAUUGCCAUACGAGGAGUCGAAGUUUAAAGCAAAGAAACCAUUAGAGUUAAUUCACUCUGAUGUGUUUGGACCAGUUAAGCAACCAUCAAUUGGCGGAAUGCGGUAUAUGGUUACGUUCAUUGAUGAUUUCUCCAGAUAUGUAUGGGCUUUCUUCAUGAAAGAAAAAUCUGAAGCAUUCUCAAAGUUCAAAGAGUUCAAAGAGAUAGUCGAAGGAGAAGUGGAGCAAAAGAUUCGUUGCUUGCGCACAGACAACGGGGGUGAGUAUAGCUCGAGAGAGUUUUCUCAAUACCUACGGGAAUGCCAAAUACGUCAUCAGUAUACUUGUGCCAAUACGCCACAACAAAAUGGUGUAGCAGAGAGGAAGAAUCGGCACCUUGCUGAAAUUUGCCGGAGUAUGCUACAUGCGAAGAAUGUACCUGGAAGAUUUUGGGCCGAAGGUAUGAGAACUGCAGCUCAUGUCAUCAACAAGCUUCCUCAACCAAGGUUGGAGUUUGUUUCACCCUUUGAGAAAUUGUGGAACAAGAAACCUACAGUUAGCUAUUUUCGAGUAUUCGGUUGUGUAUGCUAUGUAUUUGUUCCUGACCAUCUACGUAGCAAGAUCGAUAAGAAAGCAGUCAGAUGUAUCUUUGUGGGAUACGACAAUCAGCGAAAAGGGUGGAAGUGUUGUGAUCCAGUAGAUGGAAGGUGCUACACAUCACGAGAUGUGGUGUUUGAUGAAGCAUCCUCAUGGUGGACCUCAGAAAAAGAAGUGCUGCCAGACUCGAAAGAAUUCGGAGACAUGCUACAACAAAAGAUGGGGGAGCAUACUGUCCAAAUUCAUCUAAGCUCAGCUGGGGAUCUAUGCGAUAGUGAUAGCGAACGAAGAGUAACUCUAAAUCCUUGGCAAUCUGGGGUGUAUCGACAACCAGAUGAAGAAGGUGUGCCUAGUGAAACAGAAGAAUCAACUCCAUUACGAAGGUCAACAAGAACCCGAAGGCCAAAUCCCAAAUACGCUAAUGCAGCCAUAGUUGAAGAAGCAACUGGAAUAGAACCUGAGACGUUCGAAGAAGCGUCACAGAGUUCUGAGUGGAUGACAGCUAUGAAAGACGAGAUCACUGCACUUGAGCAAAAUCAGACCUGGGAACUCGUGCCAAAGCCAAAAGAUGUGAAACCCAUAUCCUGCAGAUGGGUUUACAAAAUAAAGCACUGUCCAGAUGGGUCAAUCGAGAGGUACAAGGCUCGAUUGGUAGCUCGUGGUUUCUCUCAACAAUAUGGACUAGAUUAUGACGAAACGUUUAGUCCAGUGGCAAAACUUACAACCGUCCGAGUCUUACUUGCACUUGCAGCCAACAAAAGCUGGAACUUGUGGCAGAUGGACGUGAAGAAUGCCUUUCUCCAUGGAGAGCUGGAUAGAGAGAUCUACAUGAUUCAACCGAUGGGUUUUCAGAACCGAGGUCACCCUGAGUAUGUGUGUAAACUGCGAAAGGCUCUCUACGGACUAAAACAAGCACCCAGGGCGUGGUAUGGCAAGAUUGCUGAAUUUCUAACUCAAAGUGGGUAUUCAGUAACAUCUGCAGACUCCAGCUUGUUUGCUAAAGCUAAUGGAGAAAGGAUAGCUAUUGUGCUCGUGUACGUAGAUGAUCUAAUCAUCACUGGAGAUGAUGUUGAAGAAAUUUUCCGAACAAAGGAGAACUUGUCAGUUCGUUUUCAAAUGAAAGAACUUGGACAACUUAAGCAUUUCCUUGGGCUAGAGGUUGAUCAGACGAAAGAAGGGAUAUUUCUUUGUCAACAGAAAUAUGCCAAAGAUUUGUUGAAGAAGUUUGGGAUGCUAGAAUGUAAGCCGAUCUCAACACCGAUGGAACCAAAUGCCAAGAUGUGUGCACAUGAAGGCAAAGACCUGGAAGAUGCAUCGAUGUAUCGACAAUUAGUGGGUAGUCUAAUCUACUUAACCUUGACUCGACCUGACAUUUCUUAUGCAGUUGGCGUGAUGAGUCGAUACAUGCAAAAUCCGAAGAAGUCUCAUUUAGAAGCGGUUCGGCGAGUACUCAGAUAUGUGAAGAGUACAAUAGACUAUGGUCUUUUAUACAAGAAAGGUGGAAAUUGCAAACUAGUUGGCUACUGUGAUGCUGACUAUGCAGGAGAUCACGAUACUCGCAGAUCAACUACUGGGUAUAUGUUUACCCUUGGAUCUGGAACGAUUUCUUGGUGUAGCAAGAGACAACCGACUGUGUCCAUGUCAACUACGGAAGCAGAGUAUCGAGCAGCAGCAAUGGCAGCUCAAGAAAGCACGUGGCUGAUACAACUAAUGAAUGAUCUACAUCAACCACUAGAUUAUACAGUUCUGUUGUACUGUGACAACCAAUCGGCAAUUCGGCUGGCGGAGAAUCCUGUUUUUCAUGCAAGAACUAAACAUGUGGAAGUGCAUUACCACUUUGUUAGGGAAAAAGUUCUGCAAGAAGAGAUUGAGAUGAGGCAAGUCAAGACAGAUGAACAAAUUGCUGACUUGUUUACAAAAAGCUUGAGUGUUGGAAAGUUUGAACAUUUCCGUCGUCAGCUUGGCAUGAUUCAAAGAAUGGGGGCUAACAUUGAGGGGGAGUGUUGAGAAGUCAAUAUUAGCCCAAAUAAGUCCACACCUAAAUUAAUUUGAUGUCAUUGCUUACAUCAAUUUAGUUAGGUGAAUAUUAGCCCAAAUAAGUCCACACCUAAAUUAAUUUGAUGUCAUUGCUUACAUCAAUUUAGUUAGGUGAAAAUUAGGUAUUUUUCCCAUGUUUAAUUUCAAUGGUUUAAAUUAGUUUGUGGUUAUUUUAAUGAGUGGUUUAGAUUGUUU